UACGGAGGGUGCAAGCGUUAUCCGGAUUCACUGGGUUUAAAGGGUGCGUAGGUGGGCAAGUAAGUCAGUGGUGAAAUCUCCGGGCUUAACCCGGAAACUGCCAUUGAUACUAUUUGUCUUGAAUACUGUGGAGGUCAGCGGAAUAUGUCAUGUAGCGGUGAAAUGCUUAGAUAUGACAUAGAACACCAAUUGCGAAGGCAGCUAGCUACACAAAUAUUGACACUGAGGCACGAAAGCGUGGGGAUCAAACAGG
rnacentral:rRNA from 1 species